GGGGGUGAUUUGGAUUCGACGCCGGUAUCAAAACCUUAGGUGCAUGCCGAGAGGGUAGUAACUCUCGUAAAUCAAUUACUGCAACUUUAUAGUUGCCAACGACGAAAGCUACGCCCUAGCAGCCUAAGAGCUUGCUAGCGAUUACCGCCGGGAUGCCCGUAAACUGGUAUUUGGUAAUCGUCAUCUAGAACGGGAUCGCCAGUGGAACGCGCUUGACGUGAAGCGGCUAAAUAGUAUCAAGCUCGCCCAAUUCACCCUGCCCGUCGGGCCGAUGAGGGUUAACCUAGUAGACGACGCUAUGCAUGUAGAGCCGAAGAUAGAGAGCUGACGGACGGGGGUUCAAUUCCCCCCGCCUCCACCA
rfam:Cryomorphaceae bacterium BACL22 MAG-120619-bin3 contig01594_1_120619-bin3, whole genome shotgun sequence.